rnacentral:rRNA from 1 species
ACGGGGCGCAGCAGGCGAGAAAACUUUGCAAUGUGCGAAAGCACGACAAGGUUAAUCCGAGUGGUUUCUGCUAAAGAAACCUUUUGUCAGUCCUAGAAACACUGAUGAAUAAGGGGUGGGCAAGUUCUGGUGUCAGCCGCCGCGGUAAAACCAGCACCUCAAGUGGUCAGGAUGAUUAUUGGGCCUAAAGCAUCCGUAGCUCGUUUUGUAAGUUUUCGGUUAAAUCCAUGCGCUUAACGUAUGGGCUGCCGGGGAAUACUGCAUAACUAGGAAGUGGGAGAGGUAGACGGUACUCGGUAGGAAGGGGUAAAAUCCUUUGAUCUAUUGAUGACCACCUGUGGCGAAGGCGGUCUACCAGAACACGUUCGACGGUGAGGGAUGAAAGCUGGGGGAGCAAACCGGAUUAGAUACCCGGGUAGUCCCAGCUGUAAACUAUGCAAACUCAGUGAUGCAUUGGCUUGUGGCCAAUGCAGUGCUGCAGGGAAGCCGUUAAGUUUGCCGCCUGGGAAGUACGUACGCAAGUAUGAAACUUAA